rnacentral:rRNA from 1 species
UACGAAGGGGGCUAGCGUUGUUCGGAAUUACUGGGCGUAAAGCGCGCGCAGGCGGCUAUCCAAGUCAGUGGUGAAAGCCCGGAGCUCAACUCCGGAACUGCCAUUGAAACUGUUUAGCUUGAGGAUGAGAGAGGUGAGUGGAAUUCCCAGUGUAGAGGUGAAAUUCGUAGAUAUUGGGAAGAACACCGGUGGUGAAGGCGGCUCACUGGCUCAUUACUGACGCUCAGGCGCGAUAGCGUGGGGAUCAAACAGG